rnacentral:rRNA from 1 species
UACGAAGGGUGCAAGCGUUAAUCGGAAUUACUGGGCGUAAAGCGUGCGUAGAUGGUUCAUUAAGUCGGAUGUGAAAGCCCCGGGCUCAACCUGGGAAUGGCAUCCGAUACUGGUGGACUAGAGUGCGGUAGAGGAGAGCGGAAUUCCCGGUGUAGCGGUGAAAUGCGUAGAGAUCGGGAGGAACAUCCGUGGCGAAGGCGGCUCUCUGGACCAGCACUGACGUUGAGGCACGAAAGCGUGGGGAGCAAACAGGAUUAGAUACCCUGGUAGUCCACGCCCUAAACGAUGUCGACUGGAUGUUGGGCACACUUUGGUGCUCAGUAUCGAAGCUAACGCGUUAAGUCGACCGCCUGGGGAGUAUGCGCGCAAGCGUG